rnacentral:rRNA from 1 species
CAGCGUUUGACAUCCUCAUCGCGGAUUUCAGAGAUGAUUUCCUUCAGUUCGGCUGGAUGAGUGACAGGUGCUGCAUGGCUGUCGUCAGCUCGUGUCGUGAGAUGUUGGGUUAAGUCCCGCAACGAGCGCAACCCUCGUCUUUAGUUGCCAUCAUUUAGUUGGGCACUCUAAAGAAACCGCCGGUGAUAAGCCGGAGGAAGGUGGGGAUGACGUCAAGUCCUCAUGGCCCUUACGCGCUGGGCUACACACGUGCUACAAUGGCGGUGACAACGGGCUGCUACCUCGCGAGGGGAAGCUAAUCCCAAAAAGCCGUCUCAGUUCGGAUUGUUCUCUGCAACUCGAGAGCA